AGCAGCCGCGGUAAUUCCAGCUCCAAUAGCGUAUAUUAAAGUUGUUGCAGUUAAAAAGCUCGUAGUUGAAUUUCGGGAUCAAAUUGUCGGUCGUGCCUCGGUACGUACUGGCGCUAUUGGUUCCUCCCUUCUGAAGAACCGCGAUGUCAUUAAUUUGGUGUCGCGGGGAAUCAGGACUGUUACUUUGAAAAAAUUAGAGUGUUUAAAGCAGGCUCGCGCUUGAAUACAUUAGCAUGGAAUAAUGAAAUAGGACGUUCGAUCCUAUUUUGUUGGUUUCUAGGAUUGACGUAAUGAUUAAUAGGGAUAGUUGGGGGCAUUAGUAUUCAAUUGUCAGAGGUGAAAUUCUUGGAUUUAUUGAAGACUAACUACUGCGAAAGCAUUUGCCAAGGAUGUUUUCAUUAAUCAAGUAACGAAAGUUAGGGGAUCGAAGACGAUCAGAUACCGUCGUAGUCUUAACCNUAAACUAUAGCCGACUAGGGAUCGGAUGAUGUAUUUUAAUGACUCAUUCGGCGCCUUACGG
rnacentral:rRNA from 1 species